rnacentral:rRNA from 1 species
UACGUAGGGGGCAAGCGUUGUCCGGAAUCAUUGGGCGUAAAGCGCGUGUAGGCGGCUCGGUAAGUCUGCUGUGAAAGUCCAGGGCUCAACCCUGGGAUGCCGGUGGAUACUGUCGAGCUCGAGUCCGGAAGAGGCGAGUGGAAUUCCUGGUGUAGCGGUGAAAUGCGCAGAUAUCAGGAGGAACACCAAUGGCGAAGGCAGCUCACUGGGACGGUAUUGACGCUGAGACGCGAAAGCGUGGGGAGCAAACAGG